AUACAACCGCCAAACAAAUUUUGUGGUCGUAUAUUGGUAUGACGUUGGCGUCGUCGUCGUCGUCCAAAGACACAUUGGUUUUCGCACUCUAACUUUAGUUUAAGUGAAUGGAUCUCUAUGAAAUUUUACCAUAAGGUUCAAGGUUCAAUACCACAAAAGAAGGGUGGGGAUUGAUUUUGGGGGUUAUGGUACCAACAGUUAAGGAAUUAGGGGACAAAAAGGGGCCAAAAAUAAGCAUUUUUGUAACUUCCAGACAUAACUUGUGUGUUAGUGUAUGGAUCUCUCUGACAUUGUACCACAAGGUUCCAUAUCACAAAGGGAAUGCUGGGAUUGAUUUUGGGGGUAAUUGCCUCCAAAUUUUCAGAAUUAGGGGCCAAAAAGGGGCAAAAAACAAGCAUUUUUCUAGUUUCAUGACAAUAACUUGUGUGUAAGUCUAUGGAUCUCUAUGACAUUGUAUCACAAGGUUCCAUAUCACAAAGGGAAAGCUGGGUUUGAGUUUGGGGGUAAUUGCCCUAAAUGUUUAGGAAUUUGGGGCCAAAAAGGGGCCAAAAAACAAGCAUUUUUCUAGUUUCCAGACAAUAACUUGUGUUCAAGUGUAUGGAUCUCUCUGAAAUUGUACUGCAAGGUACCAUACCACAAAGGGAAGGCUGGGAUUGAGUUUGGGGGUGAUGAAUCAUAAGGGGGUUCAAAAAAUUUGGGGAGGGGGGGAUUUUU